rnacentral:rRNA from 1 species
AUUGAACGCUGGCGGCAGGCCUAACACAUGCAAGUCGAGCGAGCGGCGGACGGGUGAGUAAUGUCUGGGAAACUGCCUGAUGGAGGGGGAUAACUACUGGAAACGGUAGCUAAUACCGCAUACCAUCAGAUGUGCCCAGCUGGGAGUAGCUAGUAGGUGGGGUAAAGGCUCACCUAGGCGACGAUCCCUAGCUGGUCUGAGAGGAUGACCAGCGACACUGGAACGGAGAAACGGUCCAGACUCCUACGGGAUGCAGCAGUGUAGAAUAUUGCGAAAUGGGAGCAAGCCUGAUGCAGCAAUGCCGCGUGUGUGAAGAAGGCCUUCGGGUUGUAAAGCACUUUAAGCGGGGAGGCGGUACCCGCAGAAGAAGCACCGGCUAACUCCGUGCCAGCAGCCGCGGUAAUAC